rnacentral:rRNA from 1 species
UAGGGAAUCUUCCGUAAUGGACGCAAGUCUGACGGAGCAACGCCGCGUGAGUGAAGAAGGAUUUCGGUUCGUAAAACUCUGUUGUUAGAGAAGAACAGCGCAUAGAGUAACUGUUAUGCGUGUGACGGUAUCUAACCAGAAAGCCACGGCUAACUACGUGCCAGCAGCCGCGGUAAUACGUAGGUGGCAAGCGUUGUCCGGAUUUAUUGGGCGUAAAGCGAGCGCAGGCGGUCAAUUAAGUCUGAUGUGAAAGCCCCCGGCUCAACCGGGGAGGGUCAUUGGAAACUGGUUGACUUGAGUGCAGAAGAGGAGAGUGGAAUUCCAUGUGUAGCGGUGAAAUGCGUAGAUAUAUGGAGGAACACCAGUGGCGAAGGCGACUCUCUGGUCUGUAACUGACGCUGAGGUUCGAAAGCGUGGGUAGCAAACAGG